AACUUUAGAAGAGAUAUAUUUAUUAGAUAAAAAACUAACGCUCUUUAGAGCUUCUUAGUAAUUUAUAAUAACUUUAUAGAUCGCAUAGCCUUGCGCUAGCGAUAGUUUAUUUAAAUUUCUGCUCUAUUAACUUUUAAUAGUAAGAUAUUAGCUUACUAUAGUUUUAAUAGAUAAUAGAGAAUUAGAGUUUAAUUCUAGAGAGAGAGCCUAAGAAAUAGCUAUUAUAUCUAAGAAAGGCAGCAGGCGCGCAAAUUACCUAAUUCUAAUAUAGAGAGAUAGUAAUAAUAAAUACUAAUAUAGAGCUCUUUUAGAUCUUAUAAUUAGAAUAAGUAUAAUUUAAAUCUCUUAAUAAGAAAUAAUUAGAGAGUAAGUCUAGUGCUAGCAGCUAUAGUAAUUCUAGCUCUAAUAGCAUAUAUUAAAGUUAUUAUAGUUAAAAAGCUUAUAGUUAAACCUUAGAUCUAGCUAGUAGAUUCGCCUUACCGCGUAUACUUAUCUAGCUAGGCCUUUCUUCUAGAGAAUCUUAUGCUCUUUACUAGGCGUAUUAGAGAUUAGGACUUUUACUUUAAAAAAAUUAGAGUAUUUAAAGCAGGCCUUUGCUCGAAUAUAUUAGCAUAGAAUAAUAGAAUAGAAUAUAUAGUUCUAUUUUAUUAGUUUCUAGAACUGCUAUAAUAAUUAAUAGAGAUAGUUAGGAGCAUUAGUAUUUAAUUAUUAGAGAUAAAAUUCUUAGAUUUAUUAAAGACUAACUACUGCGAAAGCAUUUGCUAAGAAUAUUUUUAUUAAUUAGUAAAUAAAAGUUAGAGGAUUAAAGAUAAUUAGAUACUAUUAUAGUCUUAACUAUAAACUAUGCUAACUAGAGAUUAAGCGAUAUCCUUUUUCUAACUCGCUUAGUACCUUAUAAGAAAUUAAAGUUUUUAGAUUCUAGAGAGAGUAUAGUUAUAAGACUAAAACUUAAAGAAAUUAAUAGAAGAGCACUACUAGGCAUAGAGCCUACGGCUUAAUUUAACUUAAUAUAGAGAAACUUAUUAGGUUUAGAUAAAAUAAGAAUUAAUAGAUUAAGAGCUCUUUCUUAAUUUUUUAGAUAGUAGUAUAUAGCUAUUCUUAGUUAGUAGAAUAAUUUAUCUACUUAAUUAUAAUAACGAAUAAGAUCUUAAUCUACUAAAUAGCUAAGCUAGCUUUAGCUAGUUGCUAGCUUCUUAGAAAGACUAUUAGCUUAAGCUAAUAGAAGUUUAAGGCAAUAAUAGAUCUAUAAUGCUCUUAGAUAUUCUAGGCUAUAUACGCGCUAUACUAAUAGAGCUAACGAGUUCUUUAUCUUAGCUAAAAGAUCUAGAUAAUCUUAUUAAACUCUAUCAUGCUAGAGAUAGAGUAUUAUAAUUAUUACUCUUUAAUAAGGAAUACCUAGUAAGCGCGUAUUAUUAGCAUGCGUUAAUUAUAUCUCUACUCUUUAUAUAUAUCGCUUAUCGCUACUACUAAUUAAAUAGCUUAGUAAGGCCUUUAGACUAGCUUAGAGAGAUUAGCAAUAACUACCUUAAGCUAGAAAGU
rnacentral:rRNA from 1 species